rnacentral:sRNA from 1 species
GCUGGGUAUGGUGGCAUGUGCCUGUAAUCCCAGGGGCUCGAGGGGCUGAGGCAGGAGGAUUGCGAGUUCAAAGCUAGCCUUAGCAACUUAGUGAGACCCUGUCUCAA